UACGUAGGGGGCAAGCGUUGUUCGGAUUCAUUGGGCGUAAAGGGUGCGUAGGCGGCGCGGUAAGUCGGGUGUGAAAUCUCGGGGCUUAACUCCGAAACUGCAUUCGAUACUGCCGUGCUUGAGGACUGGAGAGGAGACUGGAAUUUACGGUGUAGCGGUGAAAUGCGUAGAUAUCGUAAGGAAGACCAGUGGCGAAGGCGGGUCUCUGGACUGGUACUGACACUGAGAGACGAAAGCUAGGGGAGCAAAUGGG
rnacentral:rRNA from 1 species